rnacentral:lncRNA from 1 species
UAAAGAAAAAUGAAGAUGCAAAUGACUGCCCUCACGACAAGUCCAGACUUUGUGGCUCGAAGCUGGCUCAUAUCUUGAGCUCCAGAAGACCAUGUACGUGUGACUGGUAUUUGAGCUCAGGUUGGACACUGGUCCCUUGCCUUUCCACAUCAUUUUUACAAAUGCUGUUUGGAUAAUGCCUCAAACAGGCAGCAUUUUUAGUUAUCCUUGUGUUCUUAAACUCUGAGCCAACAAAAACUGUUAACAUUGACUGUGGAUUUUAAAGAUGUUGUAUUUAU